rnacentral:rRNA from 1 species
CGCAAUGGGGGAAAACCUGAGGGAGAACCACCGCGUGAGGGAGGAAGAGCUUUGGAUUGUAACCUUUUUUCUCAAAGGAGAAGUUCUGACGGUACCUGAGGAAUAAGCCUCGGCUAAAUCCGUGCCAGCAGCCGCGGUAAUACGGGGGAGGCAAGCGUUAUCCGGAAUUAUUGGGCGUAAAGCGUCCGCAGGUGGUCAACGAAGUCUGCCGUCAAAUCAGGAUGCUUAACGACCUAAAGGCAGUGGAAACUGGCAGACUAGAGAGCACUAGGGGUAACAGGAAUUCCCAGUGUAGCGGUGAAAUGCCUAGNGAAGAUCCUCAGUGCGAAAGCGUGUAGGGGCCGAACUG